UACAGAGGUCUCAAGCGUUGUUCGGAUUCAUUGGGCGUAAAGGGGGCGUAGGCGGCGCGGUAAGUCGGGUGUGAAAUCUCGGGGCUUAACUCCGAAACUGCAUUCGAUACUGCCGUGCUUGAGGACUGGAGAGGAGACUGGAAUUUACGGUGUAGCGGUGAAAUGCGUAGAUAUCGUAAGGAAGACCAGUGGCGAAGGCGGGUCUCUGGACAGUUCCUGACGCUGAGGCACGAAGGCCAGGGGAGCAAACGGG
rnacentral:rRNA from 1 species